rnacentral:rRNA from 1 species
AACGUAGGAGACAAACGUUAUCCGGAGUUACUGGGCGUAAAGGGCGUGCAGGUGGUCUGUUAAGUCUGGCGUGAAAGCUCUCGGCUAAACCGGGAGAGGUCGUUGGAUACUGGCGGACUAGAGGACGGUAGAGGCGUGUGGAAUUCCGGGUGUAGUGGUGAAAUGCGUAGAGAUCCGGAGGAACACCAGUGGCGAAGGCGACACGCUGGGCCGUACCUGACACUAAAACGCGACAGCAUGGGGAGCGAACGGG